UCCAGAGGGAACCCAGCGUUCU
rnacentral:misc_RNA from 1 species